UUUAUCGAUGACGCUGGCGGCAGGCCUAACACAUGCAAGCAAAUACCGGGUAAGCCGUAAGCUUGCUUCUUUGCUCACGAGUGGCGGACGGGUGAGUAAUGUCUGGGAAACUGCCUGAUGGAGGGGGAUAACUACUGGAAACGGUAGCUAAUACCGCAUAACGUCGCAAGACCAAAGAGGGGGACCUUCGGGCCUCUUGCCAUCGGAUGUGCCCAGAUGGGAUUAGCUAGUAGGUGGGGUAACGGCUCACCUAGGCGACGAUCCCUAGCUGGUCUGAGAGGAUGACCAGCCACACUGGAACUGAGACACGGUCCAGACUCCUACGGGAGGCAGCAGUGGGGAAUAUUGCACAAUGGGCGCAAGCCUGAUGCAGCCAUGCCGCGUGUAUGAAGAAGGCCUUCGGGUUGUAAAGUACUUUCAGCGGGGAGGAAGGGAGUAAAGUUAAUACCUUUGCUCAUUGACGUUACCCGCAGAAGAAGCACCGGCUAACUCCGUGCCAGCAGCCGCGGUAAUACGGAGGGUGCAAGCGUUAAUCGGAAUAACUGGGCGUCAAGCGCACGCACGCGGGUUGUGAAGUCAGAUGUGUAAUCCCCGGGCUCAACCUGGGAACUGCAUCUGAUACUGGCAAGCUUGAGUCUCGUAGAGGGGGGUAGAAUACAUGUGUAGCGGUGAAUGCGUAGAGAUCUUGUAGGAAUACAGUGGCGAAGGCAGCCCCUGCCGAGACUGACCCUCAGUUCCAAGCAGGGGAGCAGCAGGAUAGAAACCUGCUAGCCCGCCGUACCAAGUCAACUGAGUUUGCCUGAGCCUAGCUCCGGCUUACCGUAAUUACCCUGGAUCGCGCCGCCACUCAC
rnacentral:rRNA from 1 species